rnacentral:miRNA from 1 species
GCAGAAACAUUCCAGCCAAUCAGCAGCAGACACUCCCUCCCAGACCCUCCCACCUCCUGGACAGCAUCAGUGAAACUUUUUUCCAGGCAUUCUUAGUGAGCUGUCCAGGAGGUGGGAGGGGCUGGGAGGGAGGGUCUGCUGCUGAUUGGCUGGAAUGUGUCUG